GCGAGUGUAGCUCAGGGGUAGAGCAUCACCUUGCCAAGGUGAGGGUCGAGGGUUCAAAUCCCUUCACUCGCUCAA
rnacentral:tRNA from 2 species